AGUGGCGAACGGGUGAGUAAUAUAUCGGAACGUACCCUGGAGUGGGGGAUAACGUAGCGAAAGUUACGCUAAUACCGCAUACGAUCUAAGGAUGAAAGUGGGGGAUUCGCAAGAACCUCAUGCUCCUGGAGCGGCCGAUAUCUGAUUAGCUAGUUGGUAGGGUAAAAGCCUACCAAGGCUUCGAUCAGUAGCUGGUCUGAGAGGACGACCAGCCACACUGGAACUGAGACACGGUCCAGACUCCUACGGGAGGCAGCAGUGGGGAAUUUUGGACAAUGGGCGCAAGCCUGAUCCAGCAAUGCCGCGUGAGUGAAGAAGGCCUUCGGGUUGUAAAGCUCUUUUGUCAGGGAAGAAACGGUGAGGGCUAAUAUCCCUUGCUAAUGACGGUACCUGAAGAAUAAGCACCGGCUAACUACGUGCCAGCAGCCGCGGUAAUACGUAGGGUGCAAGCGUUAAUCGGAAUUACUGGGCGUAAAGCGUGCGCAGGCGGUUUUGUAAGUUUGUCGUGAAAGCCCCGGGCUCAACCUGGGAAUUGCGAUGAAGACUGCAAGGCUUGAAUCUGGCAGAGGGGGGUAGAAUUCCACGUGUAGCAGUGAAAUGCGUAGAGAUGUGGAGGAACACCGAUGGCGAAGGCAGCCCCCUGGGUCAAGAUUGACGCUCAUGCACGAAAGCGUGGGGAGCAAACAGGAUUAGAUACCCUGGUAGUCCACGCCCUAAACGAUGUCUACUAGUUGUCGGGUUUUAAUUAACUUGGUAACGCAGCUAACGCGUGAAGUAGACCGCCUGGNGAGUACGGUCGCAAGANUAAAACUCAAAGGAAUUGACGGGGACCCGCACAAGCGGUGGAUGAUGUGGAUUAAUUCNAUGCAACGCGAAAAACCUUACCUACCCUUGACAUG
rnacentral:rRNA from 1 species